GUUCGACACCCUUUUAGCCAGAGCUCACAUUUUUUAAUACUUUCCUGGUAACUCGCUGAUGGAAUUGACGUAAAAAAAUAUGUUCUUGCGUUCUGUUAUCGUUUAAUGGCUCAGGAAUUUUCGUGGUGGUGUAAUCAUUUUGCGAUUUUUUUUUAAUUUAGGAAAAUGUUUGUACCACCUUGAAAUUUCGUGAGCCAUCAGAUAAAACCAGAACGCAAAAACAUUGCUUCACGUCAAUCCCAUCGUAGGUUCGUCGAAAAAAGGAAAAUAAUGUGAAUUUUGGCCGAGGAGUGUAGAAGAUCAUGAAGAGUCCAGGAAUUCCAACGUCGAUUAGGAUAUUAUGGAUAUUAUAGCAAUAUAAUAACUUAGAGUGUGCGCUGCACCUGCAAGUUGUGAAUCACAAUGAAGAGGAUCGAUGAAGGAACAAUUUUGGUAAUUAUAUCUUAAAAUGCUCUUUUCUACCUUUUUUUUAAAGCUCUUUGUAUGACCGUUCACUUGGAUGAAAAUCUCAAAAAAUGAAAAGUCUUAAUUUUGUUUUUGGUAAUUACGUUAAAAAAUUACAAAGUAUUUCAUUGCAUAUUUCUUAGUAUUUCUUCUUCCAGUCAAUUCAACAAUUUUUUAGAUAAACUUGUCAUGAAUUCUUCCCAAAACCGUAAGAAGUUUAGGUGAUUACUACGUAAUUGAAACAAUCGAUAUUCAAUGAACCUCCAGACUUUUAGUGUGAAUCAACAUUCGUCUUUUUAUAUUUACGUUUCACUUCCAGAUUUGUUUCCAUCGGGUUCAAAAUGAAAAACAGUAAAUAUUCUCCUUUAAGAUAAUUAUUUAUUACAUAAUAAAUUCUGAAAACUAAAAAUACAUUGGAGUAGAAGUACAAUGGGGUAUGCCUCAUUCGCAUUCGAAUCUACUUCGGUUUCAAUAGUUCAUUUAUCGAAGGGGCAAGGGAAAAGUCUUAUUCUUUUCUUCAGUAAAAUAUAACAAAAAUCAAUAUAAAUACCCAAGAAAACUUGAGUGACUAUGUGAAAUGAGCGGUUGUUCCCUUUAAACAUAACAGAUCCGUUCCAAGAAUAAAACAAUAACUAAGAUAUGGUAAAACUUAUGUACCCAUUGCGCAAAUACUCAUAUCAAAAGACAUACGAUUAUAAUAUUUAAGGAUAUAUAAAUUUGGAUAAAUUGCUCAUUAUUCGCUCGUAAACUAUUGCAAAUCCAAUAUCCUUCUACAAAAAAUGUUUUAUGAACACACUAACUCGAAUGAAAUUCGAGUAAAAAUGAUUGAACGUAAAAAUUUGACUACCAAUGCUAUAAUAUUAUGAUAGGUACGACCGGUGUCGUUAAUAAACCGAAUCAUACGCAAGGUAGUCAAUUAGUACGUUUUUAAAAUUUGUUAAAGAAAAACAAAAUCGCGUAAACUAUUCCAAGAAUUUAUAUUCAUACAAAUACGUAUGAUAAAUCUCUGUGGUAUCAGGAAUACCAAUAAAUUGAUAAAAAAAUAUAUAUUACAGAUCUAUCCAAAAUAAAAAUUAUUGACCAAAAUUAGGCGCUGAUCGCCUCUUGAGCAAAUAUAGCUCAGG